GAAAUACGACGUAUCGUGUGACUCGUAGAGUCGAUUAUCCGGGUGUGGGUGUAAGAGCCUACAACGAGGACGGCAAGCGUGAUGAAGAUAUAUCCCAACUAUAUUAUGUACUCUUUGCAACGACGGACUGCUUUAUUAUGAGUACGCUGUUGAAAAAAACACGUCCUUUGAGUUCGACUGACGUAGCAAACGGUAUCCUUCGGAAGCCCCCAGAUGAUUCAAGGUGCCUUCUCUGGGUUAAAGAGGGCAGCGAGCCUUCUGAAGAUGACUGCGAAAGGCAGUACAUUUCAUUAUGUGUUAAUGUGGGAAGAAAUAUCUAUCACUAUAAUAAAACAGAAUGCGAUAUUCUAAAGAAAGUAGAGGCCAAGUAAAUAUUUGUGCAAGCCACCAUGAAAAUUAUUUUUCAACCGCGCAAAGGACAGGGACGAGACGAGUGCACAUACACAUCGCUGAACUUUAACUCAUUUUCUCAGGCGUUUUCCACAGCUUAAAUAACUGGGAACCAAUCUCAAAUGAAAAUACGCCAAAACACACAAAUUCUUGGGAAUGACCGUACCUGAGCCAGUGCUAGGUGGCACAUGAACAGCUGUGCACGUGUUUCCAAUUUAUCUUCAUGAAAAUGCCGUUGUUUUUUCACAGAGGUGUUGAGGUGGCGCUUAGGCAUUUGUCUUUGAAUUUGUGGAUGUAAUGGGCUUCAGUAAUCUCUCUAGUUAUUUUUAUGGGAUCAUCUGGCAAAACGCUGCACUGACUGAAAGUGGGAUAACAAGGUGCUUUCUUAUUCUUUUUUUUUUCUUCCGCGCAGUCUCUGCAUUGAAUUCCGAGAUGGCCGGAAGCGGGGUUGCUCUUGUUGUUAACUUUCCGUAGCCGGUCGUUAAGGCAUCGACCAAUUUGCCCCAUGUAGUGCUUGCAACAAGAUAGUGGAAACCUGUACGCAACAUUGCUGUUACACGGUACAAAACGUUUUUGUUGCUUCUUGGCACAGCCCUCCUUCCUUGCGUUGCUGUGGUUUACAAUGUGACAGAGUUUUGAGAGAUUAUCGGGUGUGGAAUAAACAACUUGCACAUUGGCACGAGAACCCUCCAUUUUUAGGUUAUGUGAAAUGCUGCGCAAGUAAGCGAUAACCGCAGCCUUUCCUUUUUCUUCUUCCGACUUCGCUGCGGCCUGAAUUUAUGAUGUCUCUUAACAGGUUCUAUGCUACAACAAUGCGAAGAUCGGUUGGGUAGCCUCCUACAUGGAGGCGCACCACCUAAUUUUGAUAACUGUCUUGCAUCAAAUGAUGGCACGAUUUUACUAGGGCUUUUUCAAAACAUAACUUUGCAAUGCCACGUAUCAGAAGCUUGGAAUGUGCAGAAGCGAAAGGCGGAAGGGGUUUCUGGCAUCUUGGCUCGUAUCGCCAUCACACAUGGCUAUCGCUGAAGCACAUGGAAAGGUAUAAAAAACGUAAAUUUGCUUCAGAAGCUAUUUCAUGCGUCAAGACAAGGGCCUCAAGACAGGCGUAAGAAAGUGAUAAAACUUUUAAAACCGAGGCCACAGCGUCCUUAACAGCACAUGUCAUAAAAACUAAAGAAACAAUCAUCAACAUAAGGACUAGAAAUUGCCUCAAUAAAACCCGUUUCAAGUUCAGCGUUGUGUAUGUGCACUCGCCCCGUGCCUGUCCUUUGCGCAGUUGCAAAAGGAUGUCACACCAACUUGCCCAAGCUUCAGCAGUGUCUGCACUAUGUAAAGUGAACAAAUGUCUCAUUUCCUGAAUAAACA